rnacentral:tRNA from 1 species
GCUGCUGUAGCUCAGUGGCAGAGCGCGUCAUUGGUAAUGACGAGGUCGGGAGUUCAAUCCUCCCCAGCAGCACCA